rnacentral:tRNA from 1 species
ACCAGUGUGGCAUAGUGGUUUGAGUGUUGGACUGCGACUCUGGAGAUCAGGGUUUGAUUCCUUGCUCAGUCA